GCUGCCAUUUGCCACCUGGUCCCCCAGCCACCCAGUGAGGCUUCUUCCAUGGCUCCAGUGUAUACUUGUGGAGUGAUAGAAUUUUAGAUAUGGAUGGACCCAAGGAAUCUUCCAGGAGAAAAAUCUACAGCAUCAAGAAGGAGGGCCAGGCAAUGAAGAAACUGCUUAAACACGCAUCUCUGGAUGGAAAAUCCCUAUCAGGAUCUGUAACUACCUUUUUCCACAGGAAGAUGUUGACAAACAACAGCAAUACUAAUAGUGAGAGAUUGAAGGGAACCUAGCAAGGAGGAGCUACUUGUGUUUGAGAACCUGGAAGACUUCUCUGUUUUGCUAUGUUCACAGCCCAAUUGAUGAAUGGAUCUCCAGGAAGAUGAGAAGGGGAUG